GAUGAACGCUGGCGGCGUGCCUAAUACAUGCAAGUCGAGCGAACAGACGAGGAGCUUGCUCCUCUGACGUUAGCGGCGGACGGGUGAGUAACACGUGGAUAACCUACCUAUAAGACUGGGAUAACUUCGGGAAACCGGAGCUAAUACCGGAUAAUAUAUUGAACCGCAUGGUUCAAUAGUGAAAUACGGUUUUGCUGUCACUUAUAGAUGGAUCCGCGCCGCAUUAGCUAGUUGGUAAGGUAACGGCUUACCAAGGCAACGAUGCGUAGACGACCUGAGAGGGUGAUCGGCCACCCUGGAACUGAGACACGGUCCAGAGUACUACGGGAGGCAGCAGUAGGGAAUCUUCCGCAAUGGGCGAAAGCCUGACGGAGCAACGCCGCGUGAGUGAUGAAGGUCUUCGGAUCGUAAAACUCUGUUAUUAGGGAAGAACAAAUGUGUAAGUAACUAUGCACGUCUUGACGGUACCUAAUCAGAAAGCCACGGCUAACUACGUG
rnacentral:rRNA from 1 species